GCUAAAACACACUUGAAGUUAUUUGACAACUGCGGUGCAACUGCGUCACGUCCGCCAUGUUUUUUUCGGCGCGCGUCCUUUGGCUUGUGCGGCUUGUGCUGUGUCCGCGUCGUGCGGGUCUCUGAUGCGGUCAACGAUGAAGGCGCUAGUAAACCAUCGAAGUGCUGCGCGCGUCUUCGAAUUCGAGUCUGUCCUGGACCUUGUUCAAAAGGUUCGAGCGUUCUUCGGUCUGCAGGGUGGCGAGUGGGAUCUGGAGAUCUAUGAUGACGACUGGUCCUCGUGGGUCCUGCUGAAUGAGGAAGAUGCGAUAACUGGUGUUCGGCCUCGCAUCAGGACCGUCAUGCGUGGCGAUCUGGUUGUUCUUGAAAGCACUGGGACGACAUCCACUUCGUCAGUGGUGGUUUCGCAGCUGGAUGCACCGGAGCCUCCAACGUCGCCCGAACUCCGUCGAUCAGGGGAAGACGCAGAGAUCCGGCCGAAGUCGGGAAGCGACGCUCUGGCCGAAUCUCAACAAACCGCAGGAGUGUCUCGGAUGGAUACUAUGGAAGUCCUGGAUGCCAUGGAAGUGAUCCGGUUUGACGACAGCCAGCUGAGACCUGGACUCCUCGAAAAGCUUCGAAGCAAAAAGCCCGGCUCACCUCUGACCAGGACGGAGUGGAGCGAAGUGACGACAGUCAUCGUGACGUUCGAGAAAGCUUGUAACAGUCGCAGGUCAAAGCAAAAAUACAAUGGCGCGUAAGGAAUGAGAAGCGACGAGACGACGGAAGUGAUGCCGAACUCCAAGCGUCAUCAAAGAGGUUGUCACGCGGAAAAACAUUCAAGGGAUCGCGAUAUGAAGGAUUCGAAGGCUACAAGGAGUACCUUCCGCCUAUGCCGGAGGAAGACGUUCAGCAUCUGAGAAACCGCCUCUUGAAGCAUCUACACGAGGCUAACCUGACGAGCGAAGGCAAAGCUGAGCGAGAGGCCCUGAUCAACUCGACGUUCGCAGACAGGCGCAGGCAUGUGGUGACGCUCCGCACCAGCAUGCGCAAGCUUUUGGAGCUGUAUCCAAUCUUGCGGAACCCAGACGAAAUCUGGCGUGAGCUGGCCAAACUGGAGGGGGAGACGGAGUCGUCUAAGCUUGGUGACUACAGGCGCCGCCUGAGCGACUUUCUCACCGCCAUCCAACUGAUCACAGAAUGUCAAGACACCGACUGCGUGGAGUCUCUCCUCUACUACCUAGACGCGAACCCCGAGGACAUCUUUGAGGGAUCAGGAAGCGCGCCGCACUACCAGGUCAACGACGACGGGUCCAUCGGCCUUUUCGUCGAGGGGGUCUGCUUGACAAGGUCGGUGGACCGGAGCAGCAAGGCUGAUCUCCUGCUUCUGUGGGCAGCGAUUUUCCCAGUGUUCAACCAGAAGUGCCCCGUGUCUAAGGCUAAGAACGCUCUGAUAUUUAUCACGGUGAACAUCUUUGAAAAGGGGGGCAACCAAACUCUUUCCAACCGUGUCCUGGGACGAGUCCAGCGUCUCAAGCAGCUCUGUGCGUAGCUCUGUGAGUAGCUUAGAACGGAACCUGAGAACGGAACGCCUUUGCCGCUCGGCUGUUAACACUUUCAAACCGUGUGACACGUCCAGCGUCUCGAGCAGCUCUGUGAGUAGCUGAGCACAGAACUUGAUAACGGAAUGUCUUUUCCGCUCGGCAGUUAACCCUUCGAACCGCGCCCUGGGACAUGUCCAGAGUCUCAAGCAUCUCUGUGCGUAGCUCUGUGCCUAUAGCUUAGAACGUAACUUUAGAACGGAGCGCCUUUGCCGCUCGGCAGUUUCCUACAGAAGAUUACUUUUUUAGGUUCAUUUUUAGUACAAUAAGAGAAAUAUUACUGUUUGCAGUUGUAAGCUUGCUGAAAGGAGCUUGAAUGCAGUUUUGAAUAAACAUGUUUGAUGAGUUUAA
rnacentral:misc_RNA from 1 species